rnacentral:rRNA from 1 species
UACGAAGGGUGCAAACGUUGCUCGGAAUCAUUGGGCGUAAAGCGCACGUAGGCGGCUCCGCAAGUCGGAUGUGAAAUCCCUCGGCUCAACCGAGGACGUGCAUCCGAAACUGCGGAGCUUGAGUACUGAAGAGGAUCGCGGAAUUCCCGGUGUAGAGGUGAAAUGCGUAGAUAUCGGGAGGAACAUCAGUGGCGAAGGCGGCUACCUGGCCCAAUACUGACACUCAGGUGCGACAGCGUGGGGAGCAAACAGG